rnacentral:rRNA from 1 species
AGUGAACGCUGGCGGUAGGCCUAACACAUGCAAGUCGAACGGCAGCACAGUAAGAGCUUGCUCUUACGGGUGGCGAGUGGCGGACGGGUGAGGAAUACAUCGGAAUCUACUUUUUCGUGGGGGAUAACGUAGGGAAACUUACGCUAAUACCGCAUACGACCUACGGGUGAAAGCAGGGGAUCUUCGGACCUUGCGCGAUUGAAUGAGCCGAUGUCGGAUUAGCUAGUUGGCGGGGUAAAGGCCCACCAAGGCGACGAUCCGUAGCUGGUCUGAGAGGAUGAUCAGCCACACUGGAACUGAGACACGGUCCAGACUCCUGCGGGAGGCAGCAGUGCGGUAUAUUAGACAAUGGGCGCAAGCCUGAUCCAGCCAUACCGCGUGGAUGAAGAAGGCCUUCGGGUUGUAAAGCCCUUUUGUUGGGAAAGAAAAGCAGCAGGUUAAUACCCCGCUGUUCUGACGGUACCCAAAGAAUAAGCACCGGCUAACUUCGUG